rnacentral:tRNA from 1 species
AGUGCUGUGGCCGAGUGGUUUAAGCAUAGCUCUGCAAAAGCUAAUACACCGGUUCGAUCCCGGUCAGCACUUCCA